rnacentral:rRNA from 1 species
UAAUACGUAGGUGGCAAGCGUUGUCCGGAAUUAUUGGGCGUAAAGCGCGCGCAGGCGGUCCUUUAAGUCUGAUGUGAAAGCCCACGGCUCAACCGUGGAGGGUCAUUGGAAACUGGGGGACUUGAGUGCAGAAGAGGAAAGCGGAAUUCCACGUGUAGCGGUGAAAUGCGUAGAGAUGUGGAGGAACACCAGUGGCGAAGGCGGCUUUCUGGUCUGUAACUGACGCUGAGGCGCGAAAGCGUGGGAGCAAACA